UACGUAGGGGGCAAGCGUUGUCCGGAAUCAUUGGGCGUAAAGAGCGUGUAGGCGGCCCGAUAAGUCCGCCGUGAAAGUCCAGGGCUCAACCCUGGAAUGCCGGUGGAAACUGUCGGGCUGGAGUCCGGAAGAGGCGAGUGGAAUUCCUGGUGUAGCGGUGAAAUGCGCAGAUAUCAGGAGGAACACCAAUAGCGAAGGCAGCUCGCUGGGACGGUACUGACGCUAAGGCGCGAAAGCGUGGGGAGCGAACAGG
rnacentral:rRNA from 1 species